rnacentral:lncRNA from 1 species
UAGGAAGGGGCUGUGGCUUUCGGACUCGACAUCCCUACUGCUAGCACAGCAGGGCUCCACCACAUUGCCCAGGCUGGUCUCAAAGUCCUAGGCUCAUGCGAUCCUCCCACCUCAACCUCCCAAAGUGCUGGAACUACAGGUGUCAGCCACAGCCCCCUGUGAGGAUGCUUAAUCACUCGAGGACGGUAUAAAGGUACAGAAGAACAGCGAGCCACAGGUGGGCCUCAUCCCAUCAGCUGAAGGCCUUACAGGAACAAAGAUUGACCUCCCAGUAUAAGAAGUAAUCUGCCAGCAGGCUGCCUUUGGACUCCAACUGCAACUCUUCCCUGGGUUUCCAGCCUGCCAGCCUACCCUGCAGACUUUGGACUUGCACCUCCACAACCAUGCGUUUCCAAAAUCUGGAGAGCGGCUGUGAGUUUGCAGUGCAGUAUGGGGAGAGGCCAGAACCCACCGGAAGCCUCCAGGUGCUGCAGUGAGGAGGAGCUGGAACCCUUCUCCUCCAGGUGCCAGCUCGCGCUGCUGUGGUUCUCAUCUGUAGAGGACGUGGACCAUCCAGGGAAUC